GGUGAGAUGGCCGAGCGGUUAAGGCGCCAGACUAAGGAUAUGGACCAAAUCACGUGGUGAUUAUAUAAUCUGGUCCGAAAGGGCGUGGGUUCGAAUCCCACUCUCAUCA
rnacentral:tRNA from 1 species